rnacentral:lncRNA from 1 species
UUGAAUUACGCUCCAAGGCAACGCAAGUGGCGCGGAAGCUUGGCACAAAAGUUGCCAAGGUACAGACAAGCCAAUCAUUGAAGGAAGUGGCAUGCCAGGCUGACCUGGAGCUUCCAGAAAUUCUUUUAGUGGAGGUGACAUGGCAUCGGUGCUCAACACCAUUACAAAUCGGAGACGCCUGUGGAACAUGAACUGGAUGUCCAUAGCAGGACGUAUGAGCCCACAUUGAACAGCUCACCUGCGGCGUUGACCCGGUACCAGCAAUGCAUGCAGAGAGCCCGGCUACACACCCACUGCGAGAAGACGGUGGAGCUGAACGGCCACAUGGAUUCUAUGGAGCAGCUGAUGCUGGCAAGGCACGAGUCCCUGUGCUCUGCCAGAGGAAACAAGGCGUACAUGGAGAGCGAAGGCGACGCCGCCGAUCGCUAGGCUGUUGCCAUGCUGCCCUCAGCAACUGCUGUGAUCUCCCGGUGUUUGUUUUUAUCAAGGAAAAAGAAAGCACCCGGUUCACGCAGUUUCUAGUCACAAAUUCUUUUCGUGCAUUAAAUGAAUGUCGUCGAUGUACCCAAUGGUACCGGUUGUUGUGUAAUACGUAGGUUGUAAGCUGUCAGGUUUUGGGAAUAGGCCCACCACGUGCAUUGAGGGACAAAGAUACACGAAGGUUUUUCACAAUAAACGUGCCUUAACUCAUUGGGGUUGAUUGAUUCUACUGCGGAUAUACAUACAAUGGUUAGAUGAAUGUGUUAACCACUGUUUAUCGUUCUAGCCUACAAAAGCAGUUGAUUGUGAUUUCGGUGAAGAGGACUUAAUUGCAAUUUCAGGACUUGGCUCAAGACAAGCUGUGGCAUUGACAACUGUCGUGCAAAGUGACGGGAAUAUAUGCCAGAUCAAAAUCACUUGCUUAAUGAUGAUGUGUGUCAUGGCUUGAAGAAUUCAUGUUAUGCAUUUGUAAUCAUGUAUGAUCCUAUGGAAUCUUGCGUUAAAACAUGUUCUGGCAUAUAAACUGGUAUGCCUGUUCAUUGUUAUUAUGGUGCAUAUUGGUCAGUUCCAUAAUGGGUAGAGAUGUACUGAUGUGCGUACAUGGAGCUCAGUU